rnacentral:rRNA from 1 species
AUGGAUUCACCGCUGCUGCUCGCUCUGUCGUCGCUGCUCCUGAUCCUAGCCCUUCACCCGGCGCGCCUCGCCCUGCUCGGCAAGAGACUCCCGAAAUACCCACCUGUGGCCGGCACCAUGCUCCACCAGCUGCUCAACCUGGUCCGCCUGCCGGAGUACAUGACGGAGCUCUCCCGCGGGCACCGCACCUUCCGGAUGCUCACCCCGACCUGCAACUACGUCUACACCGUCGACCCGGCCAACGUCGAGUACAUCCUCCGGACCAACUUCGCCAACUACGGCAAGGGGACCAUGACCCAUGACGCGUUGGAGGACCUCCUCGGCGACGGGAUUUUCAACGUCGACGGCGCCAAGUGGCGGCACCAGCGGAAGGAGGCCAGCUUCGAGUUCACAACCCGGGCGCUCCGGGAGUACAGCAGCGGCGUGUUCCGCGACGUGGCUGCCGAGCUCGCGGGCAUAUUGGCCGCCGCCGCCGUCGCCGGGGAGAGGGUGGACAUGGAGGGUCUGUUCAUGCGGUCGACGCUGGACUCCAUUUAUUUUCAAGAGGAUUGUAUAUUAUCACUGAAAUUUUUACCGCUGCUGCUGGCCGCGCUGUCGUCGGUGCUCCUCCUAGCCCUGUACCUAGCGCGCCUAGCCCUGCUCGGCAAGAGGCGCCGGAGCUACCAACCCGUGGCCGGCGCCAUGAUCCAGCAGCUGCUUAACUGGGGCCGCCUGCCGGACUACAUGACGGAGCUCUCCCGCAGGUAUGGCACCUUCCGCAUGCUCACCCUGAACUGCAACUGGGUCUUCACCGUCGACCCGGCCAACGUCGAGUACAUCCUCCGGACCAACUUUGCCAACUACGGCAAGGGGGCGAUGACCCAUGACGCGCUGGAGGACCUCCUCGGCGACGGGAUCUUCAACGUCGACGGGGCCAAGUGGCGCCACCAGCGGAAGGUCGCCAGCUUCGAGUUCACCACCCGGGCGCUCCGCGAAUACAGCAGCGGCGUGUUCCGCGACAUGGGUGCCGAGCUCGCUGGCAUCGUGGCCGCCGCCGCGGCUGCCGGGAAGAAGGUGGACAUGGAGAACCUGUUCAUGCGGUCGACGCUGGACUCGACUUUCACCAUUGGGUUCGGGGUCAACCUAGGCUCGCUGUCCGGGUCCAACCAGGAGGGCGCGGCGUUCGCCAGGGCGUUCGACGAAGCCAGCGAGCAGUCGCUGUACCGCUUUUUGGACCCGCUGUGGAAGGCCAAGAGGCUCCUCGGCGUCUCGUCGGAGGCGGCCAUGAAGCGGUCGGUGCGCACCAUCAAUCACUUCGUGUACACCGUCAUUGACAAGAAGAUCGAUCAGAUGGGCAGAAAUCAACAGGAAUUCGCCAAGAAAGGGGACAUACUGUCGAGGUUCCUGCUGGAGAGGGAGAAAGAUCCCGGCUGCUUCGACAACAAGUACCUGCGGGACAUCAUCCUCAACUUCGUGAUCGCCGGCCGCGACACCAUGGCGGGGACGCUGUCGUGGUUCCUCUACGUGCUCUGCAAAGACCAGCGCAUCCAGGACAAGAUCGGGCAGGAGGUGCGGGAGGCCACCACCGGCGACCACCAGGACGUGGGCGGCGUGCAAGAGUUCACGGCGUGCCUAACCGAAGACGCCAUCGGCAGCAUGCACUACCUCCACGCCGCGCUCACGGAGACCCUCCGGCUGUACCCGGCGGUGCCCACCGACGUCAAGUGCUGCUUCUCGGAUGACACGUUGCCGGACGGGCACGCCGUGAGGAGAGGGGACAUGGUGAACUACCACCCCUACGCAAUGGGCCGUAUGAAGUUCCUGUGGGGCGACGACGCCGACGAGUUCAGGCCGGAGAGGUGGCUCGAUGACGAUGGUGUGUUCGUCCCGGAGAGCCCCUACAAAUUCACGGCUUUCCAGGCGGGGCCUCGGAUCUGCUUGGGAAAGGAGUUUGCCUACAGGCAGAUGAAGAUAUUCGCGGCUAUGCUUCUCUACCUCUUCAGGUUUGAGAUGUGGGAGCGCGACUCGACGGUGGGGUACCGCCCGAUGCUCACCCUCAAAAUGGACGGCCCGCUCUAUGUCCGCGCGUCGCCCCGACGAUCAACCGGGAACUAG